GAGACAUCUGAGAUAUUAAAGGGCUGUAGUAGCUGGUGUUUUUGUUUGGUGGAGGCUCAGGCUUUCUCAGAUCAUCUCGAGAGGAAUAGGAGGUCAGGUGUUUGUAGGCAGGUCACAGAGACUCUUUGAUACUGACUCACGCCGCUUGUUCCCCGAGCGAGGGUUGAUGAGGGUCUCUGGUGUUCUCCAGCCGUUUCUGCACAUUAUUCUCACAUGCUGAUGGGUUUCUGGACAUGUGGAGACUCGUGUGGGAGUGCGUGAUGGUGUAUGAAGACGCAGGACGGGCUCAUUAGUCUCCGGAGGUAAACACAAGCACAAAGACACCGGCUGAAGAUGAAUCAGAGGGAAGCCACGCUGAGAUGUGUGUGGAUUGUUAGUCGUGGGUUCAUACUGUAACUGACGGGACGUUUGUGAAAACAGUCCUAAAUGAAAACAGGCUUCCUUCUUCAGGACCGACCUUCUUACAGCCGUUUUUUACGACUGUGCUUCAGCUUUGAUCCGCCGCUGAAUCACUCGCCACGAGCCAGCCGUUCGUUACUGAAGAACUGGACCAACUCACGCCACAUUACCGUGGGCUUUCAUUACAGGAUUUGUUAAAGGGUCAUUCGCUUGAGAUAUCUGGACUGACAGUAAAAUACCAGCCAGAGCCAUUAGGUCUGAAGCACAAUCCAUCUCCUCAUGCUUCACAAAAAAAGUACAUUACGGUGACUCUUUCACGGAGCCAGCUUUGUGCAAAAACUCCUCUCCGGAUGCUUUGGUGCGUACGCUGGCCUUCGAAAUGCAACGCAGCUUUGUGUUAAGAGCAAAUAUUUCGUGCUUUUGUUUCUGCCCGAGUCUUGGGGAUUCGUGACUUCUUGCAAAAAAAAAUCUGUUUGCAUUUCAAGUCGAGAGGAAAUCAAACCACGCCGUAUGCAAAUAUAAAAUAUGUGCAUAUGUUUCGUGCAUGAAAUAUAUUUUCAAGUGAUAUAUGUAAA